GCGAUCCCAGGUCAGGCGGGGCUACCCGCUGAGUUUAAGCAUAUCAAUAAGCGGAGGAAAAGAAACUAACGAGGAUUCCCUUAGUAGCGGCGAGCGAACCGGGAAGAGCCCAGCGUGAAAAUCGUCCGUCACCGGCGGCCGAAUUGUAGUCUGGAGAAGCGUCCU
rnacentral:rRNA from 1 species